UGUGAAGAUUGCUAAAACAUUUCUCAAAGGGGACACAGUAUUUGUUCAAGAGGAUCAGACCAUAAAGGCAGAUUCCUCACCCUCUGAGCCACCAGGGAAGCCCUACUGAGCAACUACUGAAGUCCACUCGCCUAGAGCCCGUGCUCCACAACAAGAGAAGCCACCACAAUGAGAAGCCACACACCAAGCGAAGAGUGGUCGCUGCUCUCCAUAACUCAAGAAAUCCUGCACAAAAGCAAUGAAGACUCAGC
ensembl:lncRNA